UACAGAGGUGGCGAGCGUUAUUCGGAAUUAUUGGGCGUAAAGGGCGCGUAGGCGGCUAGGCAAGUCCUGGGUGAAAUCCCUCGGCUCAACCGAGGAACUGCCUUGGAAACUGCCUGGCUCGAGGCCGGGAGAGGGUAGCGGAAUUCCCAGUGUAGCGGUGAAAUGCGUAGAUACUGGGAGGAACACCAGUGGCGAAGGCGGCUACCUGGACCGGUUCUGACGCUGAUGCGCGAAAGCGUGGGGAGCAAACAGG
rnacentral:rRNA from 1 species